ensembl:lncRNA
CUCCUCCUAUCUUUCUGAAUACUUUUUGGUCUGGUUUCAGACCAGAUCUUGCGAGAAGCUCUGUAAAGGAAAAUACACAACAAAUAAUAAGUGGAAUGAAAUGGAUAAAUGCAUAAAGAGCUAGCUGGCCAGAGUGACCUGCCCUCAUGAGUUUAUCUCACUUACCUGUCUUACUGAUACUCUUCCUGGUCUCAGGGAGACCCUCUAAGUCACUGGUGUGUGACUGGGGCUCUUUGCCCAGCCGUUCUGCCAUUUGAAAAUUUCCAGUCAAGAUUUAGUCACUGCACAUUUUUGAGAGUCCUCUAAUCAGAGAAAUUAACUCUCAUCAGACACAGGAAUUAAUCUUUGUUAGUGUUGUUGUCAGUCUAACUUUGCCUUCCUCAGUGCCAGACGUGGAGAGAGGGACGCCCUCACAGGGAGCUGCCACCACCACUGGCAGAGACCUCAGGGAUGCAGGCAGGGCUUCACUGAAAGAAUGGGGGGUGGCCUCUGCUUCUCCCUGAGUUGAAGGGUGUGUGGAAUCCCCGAGGAACUCUCUGGUGUUCAGCCCUGGGCUGUGCUAUAUGCAGGGCUCUAAAAACGCUGGCUGACUUGACUGUAUGAAUACAGUUAUGGCAGGGAGGGAGGGGAGGUGCUUUGGGAAGGAUACCACAGCAAAGUGGCAACCAGCUAAGAAUCAGUGACAGCACACGAUGAGGGGCAGCAGGGAGAGGAUUCUUUACUGGUUCACCAGUUUGUUAAAAAUACAGACCUGUUUUAUUUAUUUCAUUUUAUUUUUUGACAGGUCUUGCUUUGUUGCCAACGCUGGGGUACAGUGGCACAAUUUUAGCUCAUGGCAACCUUUGCCUCCUGGGCUCAAGUGAUCCUCCAGGUAAGGAGGCAACCUUAGCUCCUGGCUAAUUCUUGUAUUUUUUGUAGAGACGAGGUUUUCCCAUGUUCCCUGGGCUGUUAUCAAACUCCUAGACUCAAGCGAUCUGCACGCCUUGGCCUCCCAAAGUGCUGAGGUUACAGGAGUGAGCCACCACGCCUGGCGCAGACCUCUCUUUUGAAGUCAUCUUUCAAUGGGUGUGGGUGUGGGGUGUGUGGCAGUGAGGGUGAGGACAGACCCUCAGGUGCAUUUGUGGAAGUUUGGGGCCAACUUCAAGAUUCAGAGAAUCAUAGCCAUUUUGGUUGUAGAGAAACUGUAAUGCUCGGAGAAUCAGAUUGCUGCAGAGUAAAUAAACGUGAUGUUAACACCAUCAUCCAUAAUAUAUAUUUCAUAUCCUCUCAUUUGCUCAUGAAAAAUAUAUUAUGUAGACUUGUCUAUUAUCAUCAUAUUCAUUCGCCCACAGCACUUGAUUUUGUUAGUGUCAAGCUAGCUCUAUAUUCAAGUCAGUAGUCCUCAGCUAUUGUCAUCAGCAUUCUAGAACAUCUUUUCAUUUUAAGUUACAUUUUCUUAUAUACAUGUUUCUUUUGCAGGAUUAGAAAAUUUGGGGGCCUUUGUUUCUGAGUGAGGAGUAGUAAGGAAAGCACUGGGAAUCAGGAGAGAUGACUCCCGUCUUGUCUUCUCAUGGCGUACUCUGUGACCCUGGGAAAUUCACAUCCUCUCUGGUCAGUUUCUCCAUCUGUAAAAUGUGGGUAUUAGACGAGACAAUCUCUAAGGUCUCUUCUAAUCUUUACUUUGUCUGUGAGUUGUUACUGAGAAAGUAGAGCAGGCAAAUGGGCUUAGAUAUCUAUGGCCAAGAAGGAGAUCACAGUUCCUGGAUAAUAUGGGACACAGUGGCCAGCAUAUAAGUUGCUCCGUGGCCACACUUCAGAGCCGCAGGAGGAUCCCACCUGGAUAGGGCUCUGUUUCAUACUCUCCAUUUCUUGGAUGAUUGCUUUCUUUGCUACUGGGAUUAAAAAAAAAAAAGAAAAAAA